rnacentral:lncRNA from 1 species
UUUUUUUUUUUUUUAAGAUUUAAAAAAAAUGUCUUUAUUCAUGAGAGACACAGAAUGAGAGGCAGAGGCACAGGCAGAGGGAGAAGCAGGCAGCAGCCCGAUGUGGGACUCGAUCCUGGGAAUCCAGGAUCACGCCCUGAGCUAAAGACAGACGCUCAACCACUGAGGCACCCAGGCACCCCCACAUGGUGUGUUAUACUCAAAGCUGUCUAGUAGCCUCUCCCCAACCUUUCACACCAACAUCUUGUUUUAACAUAGUUAAUAUAGAGCACCUUAUGGAUUUACAGCCCAAACUAAUUGAACAUUGUUAAAAAUAUUUGUCCAAUGUGACUUUUUUUCCUAAUGCAAUUUUCAUACCCUGGGUAUUUCCAAUGUUGGUAUUUUAAUAUCCUAUAAUGUUUCCAGUUAUUUCAAGGAAGUUCAUGAGAGUCACAAGGAAAGACUGUUUCUCCUCUCAACAGUCUAUUGCACUUCCCGUCACCAAAUGGGUGGGUUUUUUCCCCACACUGACCAAUUCUCCAAAGCCAGCUGGGUGUCCUACAAUUCAGGUCAGUUCUGAUACCCUCUACCAGGGGUUAGCAUCAGAUCCCACAAGUUAGGAACUCCGUGCACAAGACUGCGCAACUCCAGAUACCAAUCACCAGUCUAAGGUUGACAUCUGUGCUUCUGACCUACAGCUAUAUGUUGGAGUUUCCAUGACCCCUUGGUCAGGUUCAAUAGUUUGCUAAAAUGGCUCAAAGAAUUUAGGAAAAUAUAUUUACCAGUUUAUUAUAUAAUAAACGAUAUGAGAAGAGACACAGAUGAACAGUCAGAUGAGGAGACACACAGUGUGAGGUCUGGGAGGGUCCUGAGUUCAGGGGUGCCACCUCCUGAAAUAUAAAUGUGUUCACCAGUCAGAAGCUCUCUGAACCCCGUCGUAUUAGAAUUAGGCUUCAUCCCAUAGGCAUGAUUGGUCAUUAACUCCAUCUCCAUCCCCUCUCCCUGCCUUGAGAAUGGGGGAGGGCCUGAAAAGUUCUAAGCUUCUAAUCACAGCCUGGGUUUGGUUUUUUGUUUUGUUUUGUUUUGUUUUGUUUGUUUGUUUUUUGAUGACCAGAGCCAUCCUAAAGCCGUCCAGAGCCCACACAGAAUCACCUCAUUAGAACAAAACAUACUCCUGUCACCCAAGAAAUUCCAAGGAGUUCAGGAGUCCUGUGUCAGGAACUAGGGUCAAAACCCAAAUAUUAGAACAAAAGAUGCCCCUAGGGUUCUUAUCACUUAAGAUAUUACAAGGGCUUUAGAAGUUCUGUGCCAGGAACAGGGUGGGG